rnacentral:rRNA from 1 species
AACGAACGCUGGCGGCAUGCCUAACACAUGCAAGUCGAACGAGACCUUCGGGUCUAGUGGCGCACGGGUUCGUAACGCGUGGGAACCUGCCCUUAUGUUCGGAAUAACUCCCCGAAAGGGGUGCUAAUACCGGAUAAUGUCUUCGGACCAAAGAUUUAUCGCCUUUGGAUGGGCCCGCGUUGGAUUAGCUAGUUGGUAGGGUAAAAGCCUACCAAGGCGACGAUCCAUAGCUGGUCUGAGAGGAUGAUCAGCCACACUGGGACUGAGACACGGCCCAGACUCCUAGGGGAGGCAGCAGUGGGGAAUAUUGGACAAUGGGCGAAAGCCUGAUCCAGCAAUGCCGCGUGAGUGAUGAAGGCCUUAGGGUUGUAAAGCUCUUUUACCCGGGAUGAUAAUGACAGUACCGGGAGAAGAAGCUCCGGCUAACUCCGUG